GACGAACGCUGGCGGCGUGCUUAACACAUGCAAGUCGAACGGAAAGGCCAUGCUUUUGUGGGGUGCUCGAGUGGCGAACGGGUGAGUAAAACGUGAGUAAACUGCCCUUGUAUUAGGGGUAAAUUCAGGAAACUGGGGAUCAUACAGGAUAGGAGAUCCUGCUGCAUGGGGGGGGUUGGAAAGAUUCGGCGGUUGGGGCUGGAAUCGAGGCUUAUGAGCUUGUUGGUGGGGUAGUGGCUUACCAGGGCUUUGACGGGUAGCCGGCCUGAGAGGGUGACCGGCCACAUUGCGACUGAGAUACGGCCCAGACUCCUACCUUCGGCAGCAGUGGGGAAUAUUGCACAGUGGGCGGAAGCCAGAUGCAGCAACCCCCCGUGCGGGAUGCCGUCCUUCUGGUUGUAAACCGCUUUCUCCUUUGACGAAGCGUGCGUGACGGUAAUUGGUAAAGAAGCACCGGCUAACUACGUG
rnacentral:rRNA from 1 species